UACAGAGGGUGCGAGCGUUGUUCGGAAUUACUGGGCGUAAAGCGCGCGCGGGCGGCCUUUUAAGUCCAUCGGUGAAAUGCCGGGGCUCAACCCCGUUGCAGGCCGAGGAUACUGGGAGGCUGGAGACACGUAGAGGCAAGCGGAAUUCCGGGUGUAGCGGUGGAAUGCGUAGAGAUCCGGAAGAACACCGGAGGCGAAGGCGGCUUGCUGGGCGUGAUCUGACGCUGAGGCGCGAAAGCGUGGGGAGCGAACAGG
rnacentral:rRNA from 1 species